rnacentral:rRNA from 1 species
CCCCGGGGGGUGCUAUACAUGCAAGUCGAACGCGUUGGCCCAAUUGAUUGAUGGUGCUUGCACCUGAUUGAUUUUGGUCGCCAACGAGUGGCGGACGGGUGAGUAACACGUAGGUAACCUGCCCAGAAGCGGGGGACAACAUUUGGAAACAGAUGCUAAUACCGCAUAACAGCGUUGUUCGCAUGAACAACGCUUAAAAGAUGGCUUCUCGCUAUCACUUCUGGAUGGACCUGCGGUGCAUUAGCUUGUUGGUGGGGUAAUGGCCUACCAAGGCGAUGAUGCAUAGCCGAGUUGAGAGACUGAUCGGCCACAAUGGGACUGAGACACGGCCCAUACUCCUACGGGAGGCAGCAGUAGGGAAUCUUCCACAAUGGGCGCAAGCCUGAUGGAGCAACACCGCGUGAGUGAAGAAGGGUUUCGGCUCGUAAAGCUCUGUUGUUAAAGAAGAACACGUAUGAGAGUAACUGUUCAUACGUUGACGGUAUUUAACCAGAAAGUCACGGCUAACUACGUGCCAGCAGCCGCGGUAAUACGUAGGUGGCAAGCGUUAUCCGGAUUUAUUGGGCGUAAAGAGAGUGCAGGCGGUUUUCUAAGUCUGAUGUGAAAGCCUUCGGCUUAACCGGAGAAGUGCAUCGGAAACUGGAUAACUUGAGUGCAGAAGAGGGUAGUGGAACUCCAUGUGUAGCGGUGGAAUGCGUAGAUAUAUGGAAGAACACCAGUGGCGAAGGCGGCUACCUGGUCUGCAACUGACGCUGAGACUCGAAAGCAUGGGUAGCGAACAGGAUUAGAUACCCUGGUAGUCCAUGCCGUAAACGAUGAGUGCUAGGUGUUGGAGGGUUUCCGCCCUUCAGUGCCGGAGCUAACGCAUUAAGCACUCCGCCUGGGGAGUACGACCGCAAGGUUGAAACUCAAAGGAAUUGACGGGGGCCCGCACAAGCGGUGGAGCAUGUGGUUUAAUUCGAAGCUACGCGAAGAACCUUACCAGGUCUUGACAUCUUGCGCCAACCCUAGAGAUAGGGCGUUUCCUUCGGGAACGCAAUGACAGGUGGUGCAUGGUCGUCGUCAGCUCGUGUCGUGAGAUGUUGGGUUAAGUCCCGCAACGAGCGCAACCCUUGUUACUAGUUGCCAGCAUUAAGUUGGGCACUCUAGUGAGACUGCCGGUGACAAACCGGAGGAAGGUGGGGACCAACGUCAGAUCAUCAUGCCCCUUAUGACCUGGGCUACACACGUGCUACAAUGGACGGUACAACGAGUCGCGAACUCGCGAGGGCAAGCAAAUCUCUUAAAACCGUUCUCAGUUCGGACUGCAGGCUGCAACUCGCCUGCACGAAGUCGGAAUCGCUAGUAAUCGCGGAUCAGCAUGCCGCGGUGAAUACGUUCCCGGGCCUUGUACACACCGCCCGUCACACCAUGAGAGUUUGUAACACCCAAAGUCGGUGGGGUAACCUUUUAGGAGCCAGCCGCCUAAGUGGACAGGGGGGG